GCCACGGCAGCGCUGAUUUUGAAAUAACCUAAAAUUACCAUAACACAAACUAACACUGGAAUCGAAUCACGGAACAAUGUAACCAAAUAUUGUCGAUCAAUAUAUGAAUAAUGCAGUGAAACUAUUUGAAGAAAGAAACGCACCUUCUUACCAUGCAUCAAUUUCAAAUUUAAAUCCAUGAACGAGACAUAAUUAUGUAUCUAUUACAAUUAACUAACUUUACGGAUACAAUCAAGGCAUAUGUAUGUGUUAUAUACAUUUCCUAAUGUACCUAUUUAGCAUGUGGCUAUGAAUCACCCAAUCAGAGAUUACCUGCCGUACGUGGGCCACGCGAUGAUGGGAGCGGGGUACCUUCUGGAACACCUGAACACCUUCCGACCACCCCUGCCCAGCGGCGUCGUCCUGAUUGGUCACGUCUUCGUACUGUCUGACCCCCAGGCCCUAUCACCACAACGGCCUAGGCUCAGGGUUGUCAAUAGUAUUUUCUUUCUGAGCAACCUAUUUGUGUUUGUUUACGAUAUUGUGGUAGCCCUGGGAGGGAAUGAUCCAGGGCCUAGCAUGGUUGAAGCGCCGCGAGUUACCUAAUAUUUUGUUGACGAAAUUAGCAUGUUGUCUGAAAAUAAUAAAACGUUGAAAUAUA